rnacentral:lncRNA from 1 species
CUGGGCGUCUAUCAGUCCGUCGGCGUCAUCGUGUCCACUACCCCAUAACCCCCCACACACCCUUCCACCCCUGUUAUUCCCUGUCCCCACUCCUUCCUCCCACCCUCAGCCCCUACCAUUCAACAAAGGCAUCACUCCGAUUUGCAGCAGCGUCUUCAGUGGGGCCUGCAGUGGGAUCAGCUGAGGGAAAAGGGACACAGACAGCGCAUGCACAUACAGGUUUGUGUGAGCGGCCCUCUUGCAAAACCUGGACCCACCCAAUGCCAUCCCCAACUCACUGCCAGAGACUCCAGCGCAGACUGAUUGGAGUAAAUUUGAAACCUGUGGGACAGAAAUGCAACAUGAAACCUUGGGACACCCUUUCCUUGAGCCCUACGUAAAAGUUGGCCCAGAGUGACAGCUUUCCCAGUCCCACCCAAUCAUCCUUCCAGGUAGCUGCCAUUUUCCAGGUGUGCAUCCCUGAGUGACCCUCUUGUCUCUGGAGCCCCUUUCUUUAAGCCUGCUGAUUUUCAUUAGUUAGGAAUGCCUGUGUGCCAUGCCUCUGUGGCUAGGUCAACAAGUACAGUUUGUUUUAUCCAACAAAAUUCAAUAAUCUUUACUCCCUGUCAGAUACCAAGCUUAUUAAAAAAAAAAAAUCAAA